rnacentral:tRNA from 2 species
GCGGGCGUAGCUCAAUGGUAGAGCCCCAGCCUUCCAAGCUGGUUAUGAGGGUUCGAUUCCCUUCGCCCGCUCCA